GACGAACGCUGGCGGCGUGCUUAACACAUGCAAGUCGAACGGAAAGGCCCUGCUUUUGUGGGGUGCUCGAGUGGCGAACGGGUGAGUAACACGUGAGUAACCUGCCCUUGACUUUGGGAUAACUUCAGGAAACUGGGGCUAAUACCGGAUAGGAGCUCCUGCUGCAUGGUGGGGGUUGGAAAGUUUCGGCGGUUGGGGAUGGACUCGCGGCUUAUCAGCUUGUUGGUGGGGUAGUGGCUUACCAAGGCUUUGACGGGUAGCCGGCCUGAGAGGGUGACCGGCCACAUUGGGACUGAGAUACGGGCCAGACUCCUACGGGAGGCAGCAGUGGGGAAUAUUGCACAAUGGGCGGAAGCCUGAUGCAGCAACGCCGCGUGCGGGAUGACGGCCUUCGGGUUGUAAACCGCUUUAGCCUGUGACGAAGCGUGAGUGACGGUAAUGGGUAAAGAAGCACCGGCUAACUACGUG
rnacentral:rRNA from 1 species